UUAAGCGACUAAGCGUACACGGUGGAUGCCCUGGCAGUCAGAGGCGAUGAAGGACGUGCUAAUCUGCGAAAAGCGUCGGUAAGGUGAUAUGAACCGUUAUAACCGGCGAUGUCCGAAUGGGGAAACCCAGUGCAAUUCGUUGCACUAUCGUUAACUGAAUACAUAGGUUAACGAGGCGAACCGGGGGAACUGAAACAUCUAAGUACCCCGAGGAAAAGAAAUCAACCGAGAUUCCCCCAGUAGCGGCGAGCGAACGGGGAGCAGCCCAGAGUCUGAAUCAGCUUGUGUGUUAGUGGAACGGUCUGGAAAGUCCGACGGUACAGGGUGAUAGUCCCGUACACCAAAAUGCACAGGUUGUGAACUCGAAGAGUAGGGCGGGACACGUGGUAUCCUGUCUGAAUAUGGGGGGACCAUCCUCCAAGGCUAAAUACUCCUGACUGACCGAUAGUGAACCAGUACCGUGAGGGAAAGGCGAAAAGAACCCCGGCGAGGGGAGUGAAAAAGAACCUGAAACCGUGUACGUACAAGCAGUGGGAGCACCUUCGGGUGUGACUGCGUACCUUUUGUAUAAUGGGUCAGCGACUUAUAUUCUGUAGCAAGGUUAACCGUAUAGGGGAGCCGCAGGGAAACCGAGUCUUAACUGGGCGUUAAGUUGCAGGGUAUAGACCCGAAACCCGGUGAUCUAGCCAUGGGCAGGUUGAAGGUUGGGUAACACUAACUGGAGGACCGAACCGACUAAUGUUGAAAAAUUAGCGGAUGACUUGUGGCUGGGGGUGAAAGGCCAAUCAAACCGGGAGAUAGCUGGUUCUCCCCGAAAGCUAUUUAGGUAGCGCCUCGUGAACUCAUCUUCGGGGGUAGAGCACUGUUUCGGCUAGGGGGUCAUCCCGACUUACCAACCCGAUGCAAACUACGAAUACCGAAGAAUGUUAUCACGGGAGACACACGGCGGGUGCUAACGUCCGUCGUGAAGAGGGAAACAACCCAGACCGCCAGCUAAGGUCCCAAAGUCAUGGUUAAGUGGGAAACGAUGUGGGAAGGCACAGACAGCCAGGAUGUUGGCUUAGAAGCAGCCAUCAUUUAAAGAAAGCGUAAUAGCUCACUGGUCGAGUCGGCCUGCGCGGAAGAUGUAACGGGGCUAAACCAUGCACCGAAGCUGCGGCAGCGACACUAUGUGUUGUUGGGUAGGGGAGCGUUCUGUAAGCCUGCGAAGGUGACCUGUGAGGCAUGCUGGAGGUAUCAGAAGUGCGAAUGCUGACAUAAGUAACGAUAAAGCGGGUGAAAAGCCCGCUCGCCGGAAGACCAAGGGUUCCUGUCCAACGUUAAUCGGGGCAGGGUGAGUCGACCCCUAAGGCGAGGCCGAAAGGCGUAGUCGAUGGGAAACAGGUUAAUAUUCCUGUACUUGGUGUUACUGCGAAGGGGGGACGGAGAAGGCUAUGUUAGCCGGGCGACGGUUGUCCCGGUUUAAGCAUGUAGGCUGGUUAUCCAGGCAAAUCCGGAUAAUCAAGGCUGAGGUGUGAUGACGAGGCACUACGGUGCUGAAGUAACAAAUGCCCUGCUUCCAGGAAAAGCCUCUAAGCAUCAGGUAACAUCAAAUCGUACCCCAAACCGACACAGGUGGUCAGGUAGAGAAUACCAAGGCGCUUGAGAGAACUCGGGUGAAGGAACUAGGCAAAAUGGUGCCGUAACUUCGGGAGAAGGCACGCUGGUGUGUAGGUGAAGUCCCUGCGGAUGGAGCUGAGACCAGUCGAAGAUACCAGCUGGCUGCAACUGUUUAUUAAAAACACAGCACUGUGCAAACACGAAAGUGGACGUAUACGGUGUGACGCCUGCCCGGUGCCGGAAGGUUAAUUGAUGGGGUUAUCCGUAAGGAGAAGCUCUUGAUCGAAGCCCCGGUAAACGGCGGCCGUAACUAUAACGGUCCUAAGGUAGCGAAAUUCCUUGUCGGGUAAGUUCCGACCUGCACGAAUGGCGUAAUGAUGGCCAGGCUGUCUCCACCCGAGACUCAGUGAAAUUGAACUCGCUGUGAAGAUGCAGUGUACCCGCGGCAAGACGGAAAGACCCCGUGAACCUUUACUAUAGCUUGACACUGAACAUUGAGCCUUGAUGUGUAGGAUAGGUGGGAGGCUUUGAAGCGUGGACGCCAGUCUGCGUGGAGCCAACCUUGAAAUACCACCCUUUAAUGUUUGAUGUUCUAACGUUGGCCCCUUACCGGGGUUGCGGACAGUGUCUGGUGGGUAGUUUGACUGGGGCGGUCUCCUCCCAAAGCGUAACGGAGGAGCACGAAGGUUAGCUAAUCCUGGUCGGACAUCAGGAGGUUAGUGCAAUGGCAUAAGCUAGCUUGACUGCGAGCGUGACGGCGCGAGCAGGUGCGAAAGCAGGUCAUAGUGAUCCGGUGGUUCUGAAUGGAAGGGCCAUCGCUCAACGGAUAAAAGGUACUCCGGGGAUAACAGGCUGAUACCGCCCAAGAGUUCAUAUCGACGGCGGUGUUUGGCACCUCGAUGUCGGCUCAUCACAUCCUGGGGCUGAAGUAGGUCCCAAGGGUAUGGCUGUUCGCCAUUUAAAGUGGUACGCGAGCUGGGUUUAGAACGUCGUGAGACAGUUCGGUCCCUAUCUGCCGUGGGCGCUGGAGAAUUGAGGGGGGCUGCUCCUAGUACGAGAGGACCGGAGUGGACGCAUCACUGGUGUUCGGGUUGUCAUGCCAAUGGCACUGCCCGGUAGCUAAAUGCGGAAGAGAUAAGUGCUGAAAGCAUCUAAGCACGAAACUUGCCCCGAGAUGAGUUCUCCCUGAGACUUUAAGUCUCCUGAAGGAACGUUGAAGACGACGACGUUGAUAGGCCGGGUGUGUAAGCGCAGCGAUGCGUUGAGCUAACCGGUACUAAUGAACCGUGAGGCUUAACCUU
rnacentral:rRNA from 1 species